CCCCUCUCAGAGUCACACUUGGAGAGUUUCCAGUACUCUCCCAGUCUUGACUACAGAAGGAAGAGUGACGCAGAGGCCUAUCCAUUCCAUUCCUAGCUUGGGCAGUUGCUAGUGAGUGGAAGACGAUCUGUUACAAGU